rnacentral:rRNA from 1 species
AACGUAGGAGACAACCGUUAUCCGGAGUUACUGGGCGUAAAGGGCGUGUAGGUGGUUUCGUAAGUCUGGCGUGAAAUUUCCCGGCUUAACCGGGAGUGGUCGUCGGAUACUGCGGGACUAGAGGACGGUAGAGGCGUGUGGAAUUCCGGGUGUAGUGGUGAAAUGCGUAGAGAUCCGGAGGAACACCAGUGGCGAAGGCGACACGCUGGGCCGUACCUGACACUGAUGCGCGACAGCAUGGGGAGCAAACAGG